CCCCCAUUUUUUCGAUUGAAAGUAUUCAAAAAUUUUGGUAUGUCCGCGCAUUUCCAUUCUAGCAGUACAAGCAGGAGGCGACGAAGAACACAUACAUCAUCACAAAUCACCAGGGUUUGCGGGUGGCACUGAAUUGGGCACUGGUUUGAAGAAGCUUUCGUGUUGCGAUACCCCUAGAGCUGCGAACUGAUAAAUAUUGAGUCUGAAUUUGGAUAAAUGGUCUUAAUGAAAGUUGUGAAUCAUCGCGAUACAAGUUCGUAGGCGCAAAUGGAUUGCAAAUUGGAGUUCGGACGAGAAAGAUAUGGCCAGAACAAGAAAUUCGCGUGCAGCAGUGAAUAGUGCCCGAUGAGAA